rnacentral:rRNA from 1 species
GAUGAACGCUAGCGGCAGGCCUAAUACAUGCAAGUCGAACGGUGUCUUCGGACAUAGUGGCGCACGGGUGCGUAACACGUAUGCAACCUACCUUACAUUGGGGGAUAGCCUUUCGAAAGGGAGAUUAAUACCGCAUAAGACAGUAGCUGGGCAUCCAGCAGCUGUUAAAGAUUUAUCGAUGUAAGCUGGGCAUGCGUCCAAUUAGCUAGUUGGUGAGGUAACGGCUCACCAAGGCAAUGAUUGGUAGGGGAACUGAGAGGUCAAUCCCCCACAGUGGCACUGAGAUACGGGCCAGACUCCUACGGGAGGCAGCAGUAGGGAAUAUUGGGCAAUGGACGCAAGUCUGACCCAGCCAUGCCGUGUGCAGGAUGAAGGCGUUAUGCGUUGUAAACUGCUUUUAUACAGGAAGAAACGACUCUUGCGAGAGGCAUUGACGGUACUGUAUGAAUAAGCACCGGCUAACUCCGUGCCAGCCGCCGCCGUAAUAC